UACAGAGGCGGCAAGCGUUGUUCGGAAUUACUGGGCGUAAAGGGCGCGUAGGCGGCCAUCUAAGUCAGACGUGAAAUCCCCCGGCUUAACCUGGGAACUGCGUCUGAUACUGGAAGGCUUGAGUAUGGGAGAGGGAUGUAGAAUUCCAGGUGUAGCGGUGAAAUGCGUAGAUAUCUGGAGGAAUACCGGUGGCGAAGGCGGCAUCCUGGACCAUUACUGACGCUGAGGCGCGAAAGCUAGGGGAGCAAACGGG
rnacentral:rRNA from 1 species